AUUGAACGCUGGCGGAAUGCUUUACACAUGCAAGUCGAACGGUAGAGGGGGCAACCCCUUGAGAGUGGCGAACGGGUGAGUAAUAUAUCGGAACGUGCCCAGUCGUGGGGAUAACGUAGCGAAAGUUACGCUAAUACCGCAUACGAUCUACGGAUGAAAGCGGGGGACUCGCAAGAGCCUCGCGCGAUUGGAGCGGCCGAUAUCAGAUUAGGUAGUUGGUGGGGUAAAGGCUCACCAAGCCAACGAUCUGUAGCUGGUCUGAGAGAACGACCAGCCACACUGGUACUGAGACACGGACCAGACUCCUACGGGAGGCAGCAGUGAGGAAUAUUGGACAAUGGGCGCAAGCCUGAUCCAGCCAUGCCGCGUGCAGGAUGACGGUCCUAUGGAUUGUAAACUGCUUUGUACAGGAAGAAACCCUUUCACGUGUGGAAGAUUGACGGUACUGUAAGAAUAAGGAUCGGCUAACUCCGUGCCAGCAGCC
rnacentral:rRNA from 1 species